CGCGUGGAGCAUGUGGCUUAAUUUGACUCAACGCGGGAAAUCUUACCAGGUCCAGACAUAUGGAGGAUUGACAGACAGUUAACCAAAACGCAGCAGCUAGUUUAACAAAACUAACAGCUCUUUCAAGAUUAUGUGGUAGGUGGUGCAUGGCCGUUCUUAGUUCGUGAAGUGAUUCGUUCGCCCAAUCGCAUUUCCAAACAACUAACAACUCAGAAUGCUGGGCAAUAGGACGUUUAAAGUGGCUCCUUACACCUUACAAAGGAAUGGCUGAUGAGAAACAACUCGAUCCGCUCAGCGUUCUAUUGGAAUGCAACGGACGUGAUUGCAAGCUUUUG
rnacentral:rRNA from 1 species